UGAUAUUAAUAAUUUAAAUGUUAAGUCGAGGAAAAAGGUUUUUUCGUAUUUUAAUAAAAAAAUAAAUCACUUCACUUGUUUUGAAAGUAGAAAUUAUAAUUAAUAAUUUAACUGGGUGACACAGCUGAUCUUCUUUCCUUUCGUCCAAGAUGUUUCCCAUAUGUUAUAGUUUGAUAACACUGAUUUCAAUAAGUUAAAACUGACUUAAUGGUUGAACUUCCACUGUAUUGCUGUCAUUUGUAUAAAUGUCUUUUUAACGUCUUUGAAAGUCUAACUUUUGUAUCUCUGUCUAGUCACUGAUGAUAAUUUGAUGAAACUUAUUUCUGCCUCUUCAAUUGCCACGCCUAGAUAGUCAAAGCCUUCUUGAUAAAUAAUUUUUUGAUACCUUCUCUACGUUUAUAAUAUUCUCUUUACCAGAUAAUUAAUUCUGGAUAUUUCCUUUCUACAGCUUGGCUUAAUGUAUCAAUUUUUUGACAGUGCAUAGUAGGAUCAAAAGCUUGGCUAGACAGAAACAGUUAAUCGUGACCAAAUUCUUUGUUCCCCAUAUCAACAUAUAUAGCAUCACUUCCUUAAAUAUCAUUCCUGAGUUUGUGAAUACUUCCAAUGUAGGUCUUUCAUCAACCAUGAUUUUCAAUAUCUUAUUGUCGGGAAUUGACUCUUCCAAAAGUAUCUUGUAUCAGUCCGUGUCUGACAAUCCAAUGGCAGAAAUUCGAUCCGUUAAAACUUUCAUUAUUUGAUUAUUCGGCCCAUAAACAUCGGGUUUUUUCUGUACCCAGCCUUUUUUAAAUGACUUAAAAUGCUUUGUGAUCGGUGAUUAGAUCCAUAAUGGCAUCGUGUGCAGCACUUGCACCAGAACUUCCACACGAAAACGCUUGAACAACCAUGUACGAGAUGUCUUGAUAUUACACCGAUCCCUAGCAAUUUAAAUAUUGGCAAUAACUUCAGUCACAUCCGUACUGUUCUUGUAACGAAAUUCAAAAUCUUGUAUCGAAUUUCUUCUUCCUUCAGGCCCAUUACUUUUAAACCGUACUUUUAAACGCUUUAACCUUCCUAAGAAGAUCUUCAGCGAAACGUCACCCUCCGUGUUCGCGACUCGACUGACUGCCAGCGAUAAAAUCAAUAGGAUGCGAAAAACGAAAAAAUUUUUUUCCUGUAUUAAUUUCAUAUCCAUAAAUAAUUUUAUCGUUAAAAUAGAAAAAAACUAAGUUUUAAUUAAUUUUCAUAAAUUAUAAAGCUAAAAAAUUAUUAUAAUUGCUUUGUACCGAUUUAUUAAAUUUUAUUCGUUAAUUCCUGUGACGUGUAUACAUAUAUAUAUAUAUAUAUCUUGCCGCACACACAUAUAUAUAUAUAUAUAUGAAAUCUUAUAUCAGAAAUUAGUAGUAGAUUAAAUAUUUAAAUAUAAGUUACCUGCCGGAAAAUGGUACAAGAGGAGGCAAACAAGCAGAUCUUCUUUCACAUCAAAGAAAAAUCAAUAUCUCAAAAAUGGCCAGUCUUUUCUCCAAAGAACAAAGUAUUGGAAUAUUAAUUCGAAACCGCCAUCCGGAAAAUUAAUCCAACACCACCGAUUUAAGAUCAUAAGCCGCCAAGCAGCUUGGCAUGAUAUAUUACACUGGACAGACCCUGGAGGAGAUAGGAAAGAAAUUGGACAAAUCAAAAAACUUCUCCCCGUCGAAUUCGGAAUACUUUUAAACAAAACCAGUUGAUCCAAAUGGAAAGAAGAACGAUGGUAGAAAGACGAUGAGAGACGAAGUUCAACCAUUCAACGGCAUUACUUUCAGUCUAAAUUUGGUAAUAUUCUUCGAUCGAAUGGCUAUCUGUUUAAACAGCUACAUAUCACCGUAUAAUUUUCCUGACCAUGGAAGAUAUUAAAGAAGAAAUUCGAUAUACGUCAAAAUUUUACUACAAAAAGGGAUCCAAAAAUUUGGCUCAAUCAGCUACAAUUGGUAAUAUCUUACCUAUAUCGGUAAUACUUAUUGGCCUAUACGGUAUCACUGAUCAUCGCACGCAUCUAAAAUCAAGCGUUUUCAACUGUGGAAGUUAUGGUGCAAGUGCAGCACGUGAUGCCGUUAUGGAUCUGAUCAACGAUCACAAAGCAUUUUUAAGUCAUUUAGAAAAGGCUGGGUACAAAAACAACCUGAUGUUUGUGAGCCGAAUAAUCAAAUAAUGGAAGUUUUAAUAGAUCGAAUUUCUGCGAUUGUAUUGCCAGACACGGCCUGAUACCAGAUACUUCUGGUAGAUUCAAUGCCCGACAAUAAUAUAUUGGAGAUCAUGGUUGAUAAAAGAUUUACAUUGGAAGCAUUCGCAAAUUCAGGAAUGAUAUUUGAAGAAGUGAUGCUAUGUAUGUUGAUAUAGGGAACAAAGAAUUUGUUCACUAUUAACUGUUUCGAUCUAUCCAACCUUUUGAUCCUAUUAUACACUGUCAAAAAAUUGAUAUAUUAUGCCAAGCUGUAGAAAAGAAAUGUCCAGAAUUAAUUGUCUGGUAAAGAGAAUAUUAUAAACGUAGAGAAGGUCACAUACAGACCUUCUUAAUUAAGAAUGGUAAUUGAAGAGUUGGAAAUAAGACUCGUCAAAUUCUUAUCAAUGAUUGAACAUUGAGAUCUAAAGGUUUGACAGAGAUCUUAAGGGUAGAGUUUCAAAGACGUUGGAAAUAUAUUUAUAAAAAUGGUGGCAAUAAGGUGGAACUACAAUUGUUGGGAAAUUCAGAUGGAGGUUUCAUACUAUGUUCUGGAAAAGACUAAUCCAACUGCAGAGACAGCAGGAAAUAAGUACCGAUAUUAAAUAUGUCUCAAAUCCGGCUGGUUCUUAGAAGAUCAAAACACUACUUCGCUUCCACGUUAUCUAAGAGAUUUCUUUUUUGCGCUACUUUGUUAUAGUUUAGUCUGUAGGAGUUCGCUUUAUAUUGUAGGUAUUAGUUUUAAGCAAACGUUUAGUAGUAUUAUUUUUCUUUCGCAAAUUGACUAGUGUACUAGUUCUUAUAUCUACCAAUUAUACAUAUUUACUAUUUCCUAUGCAUGUAAAAGAAAUCUAAUCUGUAUAACAAUGUAUGUAACUUAACUUGCUUCACUUAGAAAAGAAUAUAUGCAUUAGAAAGCGAAAAUUUGGGUUAGUAGUUCAUUAACCUACUUCUCCAGCUAAUUUUUAUGUAUGCGAAUACCAACACAGGCUUAUACACCGACGUGAUAGUUCACAUUUUGUCCACAUCCGCAGUCGCUGAAAUCGUUACGAAAAAAAGAUGGUAGACUCAGUGAAAACUAGUAUCGGUAGCGUGUGGUUAAAGUCUAAUUUUUUAGUUUUAUCAUUUAUUUUUAAGAACAUUGUAAAAGUAUUUUAAGAGUAAUUUCUGAUGAUUAUAUUGGUAUAUUUAUUUAAAAUUUAUUAUCAAAUUUUUCAAACGAGUGACGAUUCGAAUCUUGCGACCGAGUGAAAACACAGAAGAAAUUCAAUACAUUUUGAAAUUUUACUACGACAAAAAAAAAAAGAAAGAAUAUGUCUAAAGACAAUAGAAAGUCAACUAAAAAGAUUUGUGAUGUUUAUUGAACGAUGCACAGUACCGGUGGAAUCAAUGGAGUAUGCAGCACGCAGCAGCUUUAAGCAUUAUCAAUAUGAAAAUGCGUAAAACCAAAUUACAAAAGCUAGCGCUGCCUGGGAAAAUAGGUCGUUACUUGAUAUAUACGGACAGCAUAAUAAGUGAGAUCGUUUUGCAGCAGAAAACCGAGAAAUAGGAGUACCUUCCGACGAAGUUCAACGUGCAUCCCAAUUACGUAUAUGAGAAUUUAAGAUUUGAUUUAUCGAUUUGUGCCAAGUAGGAACUAAUCUCUCUGAAAUUUGUAAUUUGCUUUGUGCAUGCUUCCUCUCUAACUAUUCAAAUGAAUUAGGCAAUUAAGACCCAAUUAAGAUCUUACGGCAUUUGAGAUGCCAGUUCAAUUAGUUCUAAGGUCUUCCUCUUUCCUGCCAUUAGAUUAGUCUUCAUUGUCUAAUAUGCUAUAAUUCCCUUUGUAAAAUUCGUUAUAGAAUACGUAUCUGGGAAGUUGUACUUAUACGCUUAACAGUCGAGCAUAUUGCAUGAAGCUUUCGCUCGUAAUGUUACCUUAUUUUCCUUUUUUCUUUUUUUUCUUUUUUUUCUCUUUUUUCUUUUUUUCGUAUUAUUUAAAUUAACAAACAUCUCUCUUUCUUCAUUACGCAGAACCGAGAGAUAUGAAAUCAGAGAAAAUUUUUCGUUAUAUUUCUUUUUGCCUUCGUUACUACGCAGUACCGAAAGAUGUAGAAUCAGAUAACAUUUUUCGUCGUUUUUCUUUCUUUUUUAAAUUUUUUACGUUCGUUAUUACGCAGUACCGAAAGGCAUGGAAUUGGAGAACAUUUUUCGGUAUUUUUUUUUCUUUUUUCCCAUUAAUCCAUUUUUCUCUCUUUUGCGUAUUUCAUUUCGAUACGCUUUACGCAAGUCAAUCAGCGUUUCCUAUUACAUGGUCGAAAGGUCAAAAAAGACUGAAAGGGUAAAGCAUGGAUCGCGAGAAAUGAAUUUCUCGUUUAAUCCCUUUGAAUUCGAGAUAUUACUUUCUUUUUCUCUAAACACGAAAUAAUCCACGUUGCAUAAAUGAAUAUCGUCGCAAACAAAUCUGCACCAUUGUUUACCGUUUGCUCUCUGCCAAGGAAUAAUAAUUCAAAAAAACAUCGAUAUUCUGUUGAUCCGUUCUCGUAAUAAAAAUAUCACUUCAUCGGCGGUGAUACGUGCCUUUGAUCCAGCUCGAUGUAAACGAAAGAAAAAAGGGAGAAUAUGUAUUUACCUUAUGCGGCGGAGAGAACAUAUUGAGUUACUAUAGUAACGGUCCGCAGUAUUUUAUUAUCGCGGAUUAUCGACGAUUUCCACAAAUUUUCCACGAGCUUUUCGGGAUAUUAUAAAUGAACUUGCUGGAUUGAAAGACAAAGCAUUUUCUCUCCUUUUUAAAGCUCUCGUUUUUAAACGACUGUAAAGCGACUCGUUUCCGUGUUCAUUACGUGAUCGAGAUUAAAUUGGAAGAAAUAGAAGAUAAAAUUUGUAAUUGGAAUAACUACGUAUUCUGAUAUGAUAUAGUAUACUCCGAUACAACGAAUCUAAUCUGGUGUAGUUUUACCAAGGUUUAUUGGUAGAACGAGAGGACUGAAUUCUUUCUUCAGAGGAUCAAAAGGGAGCUUUAGAUAUAGGAUAUAAUCGAUUGGGGUCAGAUAGAUUGUCAAAGGGCCGUCCGAUGUCGCGUGUAGAAUUUGAAUAAAGGUAGAAUGUUUCCUCUAACAAAGGAAUAUUUCUUUGUACAAAAGAAUAUUUCAUCGAGGAAUCUUCUUCGUGUCAGUCUACUUUUUCCACCCUCGAAAGUUCGCCUACUCGAGAGGAGAAAAUAAAGAUCAAUCAUAAUGCUGAGAGUUUUCUUGGAUAUCGGACUAAUGAUAAUUUGAACGAGUUUGAAAGAAGUAGAAGAAGAAGAAGAAGUCGAAGACGAGGGUAAGGAUUGGAAGUCCAUGAGGAUCAAUCUACGUUAGCUCUUUUCUCGGCAACAAUGAUUCCAGAGAUAAAUUUAAUUCAAGUUAAAAGGAUAUCGAUGUCUGAGAUGCGUCUUGAUUUAGCGAAUCUCGAUCUGAAUUCGAAAAUAGCCAAGUCGAUGUGUGCUAAAUACGAAAUUGGAUGAUCGAGAACAACAGUAAUACUAACAUGGAAGUAACAGGAAAUAAUAUCACGAAUAGGGACGAUUACGAGCGAGGAGGCUUUAAUCAUGGGCUUAGGAAUAACUUCGGAAAAAAUCAAAACGGGACUAAGGGAGAUUUAACUUCCGAAGUGAUUAAACCUGCAGGAACGGUCAAGGAUUUAUCGUUUGUGAAGAUAAUGAUAUUGGCUCAUACGCUUUAGAAGUCCGAUAUGACCCAAUACGUUUGAACACAUAAAACGAAAUAUAUUAAUUUCACAUUUACAUCUCUGCGUCAUCGUCGUUUCAUCAAUUUCAACUAAUUGCUAUUAAAUAAUUCGACCUAAUUAAAAGUAGAAGAAAUUUUGAAUUCGAUGUUUCCAAUUCUGUAUAAUAUUCACGAGAUGAAUUUUAAAUAAUACUGCGUAGUAUCCAACAUACGUUAUUCAAAAAUGUACGAAUAUCGAUAUUAAUUUGCAACCGUGCGCGCAUUCCUUUGUUAAUACCCUUCGAUAGGGAUUUAAUGAAAAUGUAUGCUUCCUCGUACGUAUCGUUGAUUAUCCUGGUAUUAAACGUUUUAUUAUUACCUUUUCGAGUUGCGUCCGUCUGCACUCGAGUACGUGCUUAUGUAGAGGGUCAAGUAGCGGGGAUAUAUACGCGGGCGUGCGAGGGAUUACGUUGGCGUAUGAGAGCGUAGGUGUGUGUAUAAAUCCCUCUUUACGGAAUAACAACUUCAGAUAUAAAAGGUUUUUUUUCUUUUUUUUUUUUUUCUUUUGCUUUCCUCUCAACAGAUCAUGGCGUAAUAUUGGGUGAUGUGGUUAGCUGUACGAUUCAAUUAUGAGUAUGUGUACCGACAUUACUCAAUUAUCCAUUUGACUCUUCUCCGAGAGGGAUUUAUCAAGUCACUAAUUUAAUCCUCUCGUAGAGAAGUCUACAUUUUGCUGAAAAUCUGUUAACUCUUCAAAGAACUUUAGAAAAGGAUAUAUAACUUUAAUUUGAGCUAUCUAAUAAUUCUUACUUUACGUCUUAAACCACACAGGAAAAUAUAAUUACAUUUCCGUAAUCGCUUAUUUUUUAUUAUAUACAACCGUACGAAGUAGUAAUUUUAUUAUAUUAUUUAAUAUAAUAUUCGAGAUUGCAACGUCCGAAAGACUUAAGUCCUCGAAACACACACACACACACACAGACGAUGUAACGCUUCGUCAAUAUUUACUUUACUUAUCACUUAGGAUAAUAACUUUACUGUUAUACUUUUUCCUAACUAUUGUUAUUCGAUCAACCUAUCAGCAUUGUCUAUAGCAUAAGUUGUUGUAAAUAAUACAGAAAUAUACCUUUCCCACCAUAAAAUGACAAACGUCAUCUUCCCAAAUAAAGUCUUUUAAAUUC